CACGAGUUUGAUCCUGGCUCAGAACGAACGCUGGCGGCAUGCCUAACACAUGCAAGUCGAACGAGACCUUCGGGUCUAGUGGCGCACGGGUGCGUAACGCGUGGGAAUCUGCCCUUGGGUUCGGAAUAACAGUUGGAAACGACUGCUAAUACCGGAUGAUGACGUAAGUCCAAAGAUUUAUCGCCCAAGGAUGAGCCCGCGUAGGAUUAGCUAGUUGGUGAGGUAAAGGCUCACCAAGGCGACGAUCCUUAGCUGGUCUGAGAGGAUGAUCAGCCACACUGGGACUGAGACACGGCCCAGACUCCUACGGGAGGCAGCAGUGGGGAAUAUUGGACAAUGGGCGAAAGCCUGAUCCAGCAAUGCCGCGUGAGUGAUGAAGGCCUUAGGGUUGUAAAGCUCUUUUACCCGGGAUGAUAAUGACAGUACCGGGAGAAUAAGCUCCGGCUAACUCCGUG
rnacentral:rRNA from 1 species